AGGAAUAUUGGUCAAUGGGUGCAAGCCUGAACCAGCCAUCCCGCGUGAAGGACGACUGCCCUAUGGGUUGUAAACUUCUUUUGUAUAGGGAUAAACCUACCCUCGUGAGGGUAGCUGAAGGUACUAUACGAAUAAGCACCGGCUAACUCCGUGCCAGCAGCCGCGGUAAUAAGGAGGGUGCAAGCGUUAUCCGGAUUUACUGGGCUUAAAGGGUCCGUAGGCGGACUUAUAAGUCAGUGGUGAAAGCCUGUCGCUUAACGAUAGAACUGCCUGUGAUACUGUAAGUCUUGAGUAUAGUUGGGNUAGCUGAAAUAAGUAGUUUAGCGGUGGAAGUCAUAGAUAUUACU
rnacentral:rRNA from 1 species